GAUUUUGUGACCGUUGAUCAUUAAAGGGAGAAUUGCAUUCCAACGGCUAGUUGAUUUUAUCAUGCUACGGCUAGUUAUAUUCUCAAAUGAAUUUCAUUCUCAUUUUUGCAUAUAAAUAGAUGCUUUGUGUAGCUCAUUUAAGAAGAACUAAUAUUUGCACUAAACAUUGUCAAAAAUACUUUUACAUCACUCUCAUUAUUUUUACACUUGCUAAUUUAUUAUCUUGAGAGCUAUUUUAUACUACAUAGUUUAUCUUGUAGUUCUUGUGCUUCAAUUUGUUAUAUCUACACAUUUGGUGUAUUACUUUAUUAUUGUAAUUCUUAUUUGUAUUGGGUGUGAUCCCAAGGUUUCAAGAGAGGUGAUAUCUCUUGGGUUUAGAGGCUCUUCUACAAAGGAUUGUUUUGUUUGGAGAGUGCUCGCUAUCUUGUAAAGGUUACUAGCUUAUCCCGUUUAAAAGCUAGGUUACUAGCUUAUCCCGUUUAAAAGCUAGGUUACUAGCUUAUCCCGUUUAAAAGCUAGGUUAGUGAAAAUCUCAAGGGGCUUUUUCUUGGGGACUAGACGUAGGCCUUGGUGUUUUAGGCCGAACUAGGAUAAACUUCUUGUGUCUUUUUCUCUCAUCCCUUUAUCUCUUUUACUUUAUUUGUCAUUUAUUUUAUCUCACCA